ensembl:snoRNA SNORA62 Small nucleolar RNA SNORA62/SNORA6 family
UGUGCACACAACUAGAGCCCUGCUUUGCUUGUCGUGCAUUGUGGGGUGUAGGAUGUGUGCUACAGUACAGCAGGGUCUCUGUUCUCUGCUCUCUGUCCUCAUGAGAACUGAGACGCUUCAGAUCCUGCUACAGUU